UACGAGAGGCCCAAACGUUAUUCGGAUUUACUGGGCUUAAAGAGUUCGUAGGCGGUGCAGAAAGUGGGGUGUGAAAGCCCUGGGCUCAACCCAGGAAGUGCAUUCGAAACUGGCGAGCUUGAAUAUGGAAGAGGGUCGCGGAAUUCCCGGUGUAGAGGUGAAAUUCGUAGAUAUUCGCAAGAACACCAGUGGCGAAGGCGGCUCACUGGCCCGAUACUGACGCUGAGGUGCGAAAGCGUGGGGAGCAAACAGG
rnacentral:rRNA from 1 species